rnacentral:rRNA from 1 species
GAUGAACGCUGGCGGCGUGCCUAAUACAUGCCAGUCGAGCGAACAGACGAGGAGCUUGCUCCUCUGACGUUAGCGGCGGACGGGUGAGUAACACGUGGAUAACCUACCUAUAAGACUGGGAUAACUUCGGGAAACCGGAGCUAAUACCGGAUAACAUGUUGAACCGCAUGGUUCAACAGUGAAAGACGGUCUUGCUGUCACUUAUAGAUGGAUCCGCGCCGCAUUAGCUAGUUGGUAAGGUAACGGCUUACCAAGGCAACGAUGCGUAGCCGACCUGAGAGGGUAAUCGGCCACACUGGAACUGAGACACGGUCCAGACUCCUACGGGAGGCAGCAGUAGGGAAUCUUCCGCAAUGGGCGAAAGCCUGACGGAGCAACGCCGCGUGAGUGAAGAAGGUCUUCGGAUCGUAAAACUCUGUUAUUAGGGAAGAACAAAUGUGUAAGUAACUAUGCACGUCUUGACGGUACCGAAGCAGAAAGCCACGGCUAACUACGU